GCCUCCCGCCGGGCCCGCCCCGCGCCUGCCGCCCUGCGCCGGGGCUGUGGGGAGACCUCGGGCAGCUCUCGUCAUUGCGAGGCAGCGCCGCUGGAGUUGAGGCCCUCGGAGGCUGGCUUCCAGGCGCGCCCGCUGCCCACGUCCCACGGGGGCUGAACCGUCUCCCCAGCGCCCUGUCGCUGUUCAGGUUUCCCGUCCUUGAAGACCCGGCCCUGGCGAGCCUUGGACAGGAGCUCUGGAGCUGUAGGAAAAGAAGGGGAGAAAUGAGUUCCAAAUUCUGUGCAGACUCAUCUCUUCUUGCGUUGCUUUUGGUGCCUUCCUGGCGAACCCCGAGGGGCAGCAGGCUGCCAGGGCACGCGCCAGGCCGAUGUAGACAUGCGACUACAGGGUCUGUGCGGGAAGCCUGCGAAGUGACGCGUAGGCCAGGUGUUAAUGUAUUGCCUUCAAAUUCACCCUUUUUUGACUGUGCUGUGUAAAUGCAUCUGGGCCUUUGAAAGUGAGGAAACUGCGGCCCAACCUUUCCCAAGUUGCCCAAAUCUACAGUUGGGUAGCAGAGCUUGUAUUUGAUCCAUCUGGCUCCAAUUUCAGGAGCGUAACCACUCUGCUCUGCUAGUCACCAGAAACUUAAGGAAGGCAGCAGAGAAAGAAAAAGCAGAGGACAUUUCAGAAGAUGUAUGCAGGAGCUAAAAGUAGCUAGUAGCUACCCAGCACCACCCAAUG